GUGUAGGCAACACGCGCCGGAUGACACCGAACAAGGCGGGGGGCCGUCCCGGGGCCGCCGUUGCAGGGCCGGCGCUGCGGGGGCGGGACGCGGGGCGGGCAACCGCACGGGGGCCACGCGGGUGGGGGCGCCUGUCCGGCCCCCGGGCCCCCGGGGUGGCCCCGCCCGGCGCUGGCGCAGCUGCACGCCGGCCUCGGCUUAAGGAGAGUCCCCACCAGGCUUCCCGAGAGGCGGCCGACCCCAUCGUCUCUGCCUGCGCCUUUCGCAUUACCGUUGAUUCAGCAAGGAGAACCCCCGGUGUCGCCGCGGGGUUCCCCAAGGCAAUCGUCUACCGGGCACCCCAAGCCUCCCGGGACUACUCGCGGAGGACCAGCACCCACCUCUGCAAGAAGUCACGGAUGGGAACGAACCAAGCUUGAAGGCACUGGGCAGAAGCCAGUGCCUAUGGACAGUUAGCGGAUGUUCGACCAACUGGCCAAUGGGGGCCCCCCCAAAGACAAUCAUCGCGUGCCUUAUGUCACACGAGCAAGCUAACCUAAACUCAAUGCGUGAGAUGAGAAGAAAGAGAAGGAUGAGCAGACACGAGCAGUAAGAAUUUUGAAAAGUGAUCGAAUUUGGCUUCUGAUCAAUACAGAUCAGUUGAGGGAAGACGUGUGGCAGAAACCCAAAGCAAAUUUGGGAAAAUCAGGAGCACAGCUUCGCCUGUCAAAACUGAAUUUAUUCCCCCAAGAGAGAAGUCCUUCCACCAGAACUCGCAGGCCUGGCCCCACUGGAUUAGAACCAAGGCCGGCCAUUUUUGCCGCCCUGUGCACUGGAGGAAAUGAGCACCCAAGACAGACAUGGACGUCUUUUGUGGUCACUGCCACCACUGUUUCCCAACUGGACUUAUGCAACAGUGUCCAAAUCAGUCUCCCCUCCUCUGCCUUUUCUCCCCCACACUGUCCUUCCUCUCUAAAGCUUAAAUCAGUGCCUUUCACUCCCCGGCUGGCAACGGCUUCCGGUUUCACUUCGAAUAAUGCCAAGUCCUACCCAAGACCUGCAGUGCCCUUUCUGUCCAGCCACAGCCUCCCCACCAGACUGCAACGCCCUCUUCUGCCCUUGUGUCUUGAACUCCGGUCACCCUGGCCCUCUCGCGGAACCUCAGACACAUCAAGUUCCAGUCUAACGUUGGGCCCCUGAUGUUCCUUCCACUGGGACUUCUCCUCCCUCAGAUCUUUGGCUCUCACUCACCUUUAAAGC